GCGCUCAUAGCUCAGUGGUAGAGCGGUCGCUCGACAUGCGACAGGUCUGAGGUUCGAUCCCUCAUGGGCGCACCA
rnacentral:tRNA from 1 species